UCUGCUUAGUUUAUCGUGUACUAAUGAUCGAUCUGUUGUUUUUCUAUUUUUAAAGGCCAUCUCCCUGGAGCCUCAUUUACUGGAUGCCUACUGGCACAGACACUGCAUCUACCUGCUGAGAAAUGACCCUGAUAGAGCUCUGGACGAUCUAAACGUCAUCGUCAAGAACAACAAGAAGCAUGCAGACUUUCACCAUCAACUCAAGGAUCGAUGUAAUACAGCACUUCAACAGCUCCAAAUGGAUGCAGACGCUGGAAGACUUCCCCUUACUGCUAAAACAAGAACCUGGGAAUGCUGCAGCCAGGCAGGACAUACAAAGGAAGGAUCUUUUCCAAGGUGGUUAGUUUGAGAUGUCUAUUGAGGACUUUUCUCUGGCUGUGCACUUGGAUCUCCCAGUAGCUGGUGGCGUUUUACCACAGAGGGUGUCUGCUGAGGGAGAUAAUGCCUCAUAUGGCCUUAAGGGGUCUCAGGACAUCUGGUAACACGCACGUUUGAUAUAAGACAUGAAAACGUGUAAUUUUCAAAUUUCUGAAUAUAAAGAUACAGUAGCCUACUUUGCUAACAUUUUGAGGGGCCUGAGGAAGACUGAUGCCCAUGGGAGUUUUUAAGUAAUAUGUUGAGGUCUGACACUUUCUGUUGGAAAGCAGGAUGAUUAGACAGAUGGUCCAGUCACGGUUGUUCAACAAUCAAUUCAAAAGUUACACAUGAGCAGGGGCGUGUCUAGGGGGAGGCUGGGGGAGGCAGUGCCUCCCCUAGGAUAAGCCCUGCCUCCCCGAGAAACGGACUGUCCCUCUGAUGAUAAAUAAACAUUUAAAAGUUGAUUGUUUUGUGCAUUUUUUUCCAUCAGUAGCAGAUAAGUCUGACCCAUAGAAAAUCCUGUUUGGCGCUGUUUGACAGUGCGCGCGCGCUUCAGGCUUAUGGGCUCAGAAAAAGUGCAUCAUGUGAGAAUAGAACGCCAAUGAAAUGUUUACCUGGCAGAUCCUUAGAGCA